rnacentral:rRNA from 1 species
AUUGAACGCUGGCGGCAGGCCUAACCCAUGCAAGUCGAACGAGUGGCGGACGGGUGAGUAAUGUCUGGGAAACUGCCCGAUGGAGGGGGAUAACUACUGGAAACGGUAGCUAAUACCGCAUACCAUCGGAUGUGCCCAGAUGGGAUUAGCUUGUAGGUGAGGGAACCGGUCACAUAGGCGACGAUCCCUAGCUGGUCUGAGAGGAUGCCGAGCAAGACGGAGACUGAGAAAGGGUCGAGACUCCGACGAGAGGAAGAAGUGGGGAAUAUUGCACAAUGGUCGCGAGCCUGAUAGAGCCAUGCCGCGUGUAUGAAGAAGGCCUGUGGGUUGUAAAGUACUUUCAGCGGGGAGUCGUUACCCGGAGAAGAAGCACCGGCUAACUCCGUGCCAGCAGCCGCGGUAAUAC